ACAUCCAUCUCAACAUCCUCAUUUCUGCUACUUUAAUCUUCUGGAUAUGUGAAAUCUUGACUGGCCAACACUCACGCCCAGACAAAAUGGACGGUCUAACCACCGCGAUAUGCUUAGCUCAACCCUAUAUGCUUAGCUCAAGUUGUGAGGAUUAUGUAAGAUGAUAUAAUGAGACUAAAGUCUAUACACUUAAUGGUGUGGAAUUCUAAUAGGACAAUAAAAACGAAAUAUCCAAGGUGUGACUACUCAUUACGGAAACAGUACUUGCUGAGACAGCUUUUCAAUAUUAGAGGAAGAACGGAAAAUAUAAUUUGUUUGCUUCUGAUUCUAUGGUUUAAGCAAUGACACUUAACUUUCUUGAAAGAUGAUCAAGUAACCUGGAAUUUAAUUUGCUUUAUAAUGUCAACACAUUUGUCUUAUCUUCUUUUUCUGAUUCAUCUUUUACAUAUCUAACAUGUUUAUAUAUUUAUUUCAGAUUCUAUUACUACACUGCCGGCACCGGUGGUGCCGGACCUCUAGCUUUUUGCUUCUUGGCGAGGAUGUAGUUGCAUAUAAUAAAGGAGAGGAAAUCAAAUUGAAGCCUUAUAGCGGAAUGCUUACCAUUGACUUCGGAAUUGGGAUCGGCAAAAAGGAUGUUUUCCUCCUAAAUCUGCCAGAGCUGAAAAGUGUGCAUGAGGUCCUUGGAGUACCAACUGUUA